AGUGAACGCUGGCGGUAGGCCUAACACAUGCAAGUCGAACGGCAGCACAGUAAGAGCUUGCUCUUACGGGUGGCGAGUGGCGGACGGGUGAGGAAUACAUCGGAAUCUACUUUUUCGUGGGGGAUAACGUAGGGAAACUUACGCUAAUACCGCAUACGACCUACGGGUGAAAGCAGGGGAUCUUCGGACCUUGCGCGAUUGAAUGAGCCGAUGUCGGAUUAGCUAGUUGGCGGGGUAAAGGCCCACCAAGGCGACGAUCCGUAGCUGGUCUGAGAGGAUGAUCAGCCACACUGGAACUGAGACACGGUCCAGACUCCUACGGGAGGCAGCAGUGGGGAAUAUUGGACAAGGGGCGCAAGCCUGAUCCAGCCAUACCGCGUGGGUGAAGAAGGCCUUCGGGUUGUAGCCCUUUUGUUGGGAAAGAAAAGCAGCAGGUUAAUACCCCGCUGUUCUGACGGUACCCAAAGAAUAAGCACCGGCUAACUUCGUG
rnacentral:rRNA from 1 species